rnacentral:rRNA from 1 species
UACGGAGGGUGCGAGCGUUGUCCGGAAUCAUUGGGCGUAAAGAGCUCGUAGGCGGCCGGUUGCGUCUGCUGUGAAAUCCCGGGGCUUAACCCCGGGCGUGCAGUGGAUACGGGCUGGCUGGAGGCAGGCAGGGGAGAAUGGAAUUCCCGGUGUAGCGGUGAAAUGCGCAGAUAUCGGGAGGAACACCGGUGGCGAAGGCGGUUCUCUGGGCCUGUGCUGACGCUGAGGAGCGAAAGCGUGGGGAGCGAACAGG